rnacentral:rRNA from 1 species
UACCUGCGGAGGGAUCAUUAAAGAGUUAAAAACAACUCCUAAACCCAUGUGAAACCUACCUUUGUUGCCUCGGCAGGUCUGCAACUUACCCUGAGGGUACCUACCCUGUAGGUACCUUACCCGGUAGUUGCGGGCAUAACCUGCCGGUGGUCUACUAAACUCUGUUUACUAUGUCAUUCUGAAUAAUAUAACUAAAUAAGUUAAAACUUUCAACAACGGAUCUCUUGGUUCUGGCAUCGAUGAAGAACGCAGCGAAAUGCGAUAAGUAAUGUGAAUUGCAGAAUUCAGUGAAUCAUCGAAUCUUUGAACGCACAUUGCGCCCAUUAGUAUUCUAGUGGGCAUGCCUGUUCGAGCGUCAUUUCAACCCUUAAGCCCUGUUGCUUAGCGUUGGGAGCCUACAGAUACCCUCUGUAGUUCCUUAAAGUUAGUGGCGGAGUCGGUUUCACACUCUAGACGUAGUAAAUUUUAUCUCGCCUAUAGAUGAGCCGGUCCCUUGCCGUAAAACCCCCUAAUUUCUAAAGGUUGACCUCGGAUCAGGUAGGAAUACCCGCUGAACUUAAGCAUAUCAAA